CUGUCAUCGGCAGCUUCCAGUCUGCAGAUGUCCUUUGCCUCUUGGCCCUAGAGCACACUUGGUUCCUCGUGACACUGACGGCUACUAAAUGCUGCUAUCGAUUGCAGAGUUUUGUUUGUUAAGGUCCUGUGAUGCAUCGGUUGCACGCACUGGCAUAUCAAGACUCAUCAUGACUUGGAGCACCUGUACAAAAAUAGGAAGGACACGUGCUCCCUCACUGUGCAAGUCUAUGCCACUGCUGGGACUGUUAUUAUUCAGCGUACCGGGAAGUGGCCUGGAAGCAUGCAUGGCAGCCUCAUCUGGAAUGACUGCGAUCUGCUUGGGAGGGCAUAAAACUGCCUAACGGCUGGCUGCAAGGUGACGUUCAGUGUGCCUCAAAGCCAUGGCUCCCCAUCUCCCUGUUUGUGGCUAGCCUACUUCAGCAGCAGUGCGAUGUAGCCAGCACACAUGCAGACCAAGUCAUGGAGCGC